rnacentral:rRNA from 1 species
AACGAACGCUGGCGGCAUGCCUAACACAUGCAAGUCGAACGAGACCUUCGGGUCUAGUGGCGCACGGGUGCGUAACGCGUGGGAACCUGCCCUUAGGUUCGGAAUAACUCCCCGAAAGGGGUGCUAAUACCGGAUAAUGUCUUCGGACCUAAGAUUUAUCGCCUUUGGAUGGGCCCGCGUUGGAUUAGCUAGUUGGUAGGGUAAAAGCCUACCAAGGGGACGAUCCAUAGCUGGUCUGAGAGGAUGAUCAGCCACACUGGGACGGGGACACGGCCCAGACUCUUACGGGAGGGAGCAGUGGGGAAUAUUGGAAAAUGGGCGAAAGCCUGAUCCAGCAAGGACGCGUGAGUGAUGAAGGCCUUAGGGUUGUAAAGUUCUUUUACCCGUGAUGAUAAUGACAGUACCGGGAGAAUAAGCUCCGGCUAACUCCGUG